GGGUUGUGAGGUUAAGCGACUAAGCGUACACGGUGGAUGCCCUGGCAGUCAGAGGCGAUGAAGGGCGUGCUAAUCUGCGAUAAGCGCCGGUAAGGUGAUAUGAACCGUUAUAACCGGCGAUACCCGAAUGGGGAAACCCAGUGUGAUUCGUCACACUAUCAUUAACUGAAUCCAUAGGUUAAUGAGGCGAACCGGGGGAACUGAAACAUCUAAGUACCCCGAGGAAAAGAAAUCAACCGAGAUUCCCCCAGUAGCGGCGAGCGAACGGGGAGGAGCCCAGAGCCUGAAUCAGCAUGUGUGUUAGUGGAAGCGUCUGGAAAGGCGCGCGAUACAGGGUGACAGCCCCGUACACAAAAGCGCAUGUGCUGUGAGCUCGAUGAGUAGGGCGGGACACGUGGUAUCCUGUCUGAAUAUGGGGGGACCAUCCUCCAAGGCUAAAUACUCCUGACUGACCGAUAGUGAACCAGUACCGUGAGGGAAAGGCGAAAAGAACCCCGGCGAGGGGAGUGAAAAAGAACCUGAAACCGUGUACGUACAAGCAGUGGGAGCACAGGUUUACCUGUGUGACUGCGUACCUUUUGUAUAAUGGGUCAGCGACUUAUAUUCUGUAGCAAGGUUAACCGAAUAGGGGAGCCGGAGGGAAACCGAGUCUUAAUUGGGCGUUAAGUUGCAGGGUAUAGACCCGAAACCCGGUGAUCUAGCCAUGGGCAGGUUGAAGGUUGGGUAACACUAACUGGAGGACCGAACCGACUAAUGUUGAAAAAUUAGCGGAUGACCUGUGGCUGGGGGUGAAAGGCCAAUCAAACCGGGAGAUAGCUGGUUCUCCCCGAAAGCUAUUUAGGUAGCGCCUCGUGAAUUCAUCUCCGGGGGUAGAGCACUGUUUCGGCUAGGGGGCCAUCCCGGCUUACCAACCCGAUGCAAACUGCGAAUACCGGAGAAUGUUAUCACGGGAGACACACGGCGGGUGCUAACGUCCGUCGUGAAGAGGGAAACAACCCAGACCGCCAGCUAAGGUCCCAAAGUCAUGGUUAAGUGGGAAACGAUGUGGGAAGGCCCAGACAGCCAGGAUGUUGGCUUAGAAGCAGCCAUCAUUUAAAGAAAGCGUAAUAGCUCACUGGUCGAGUCGGCCUGCGCGGAAGAUGUAACGGGGCUAAACCAUGCACCGAAGCUGCGGCAGCGAACGUAUCACUUAAAGCGAUUCAGCGGGUUACGAUUGACGGAGCGAAG
rnacentral:rRNA from 1 species